UACGGAGGGUGCAAGCGUUAUCCGGAUUCACUGGGUUUAAAGGGUGCGUAGGCGGUCAGGUAAGUCAGUGGUGAAAUCUCCGAGCUUAACUUGGAAACUGCCGUUGAUACUAUCUGUCUUGAAUAUUGUGGAGGUGAGCGGAAUAUGUCAUGUAGCGGUGAAAUGCUUAGAUAUGACAUAGAACACCAAUUGCGAAGGCAGCUCGCUACACAUAUAUUGACUCUGAGGCACGAAAGCGUGGGGAUCAAACAGG
rnacentral:rRNA from 1 species